ACAGCCUAUUGCCCAUGCUUCACUUCGUUUUUUUUCCUCAGUUGUUGCUCUUCCUCUUCCUCUUCUUCCUUCUGCCAAACCUCACAAAAUCCACCUCAACCACAGAAUCUCCCCUAACUCUAUCUCAUCUUAGUUAUAUCUUCCAACUAUGAGCUGAUUUCAACCUAAAAGUUGAACCCCAAAUUUGGACCGGACAAUAGCCAAGGCGUGACUCGCCACCUCCGUUGUCAACCUCCACAACGAAGCCACAGUCUUGACUUGCCACCUCCAUUGUCAACUUCCACCACAAAGCCACGGCACCUUCCUCGUCGAUCUUCACUGUGAUUUUAUGAUGGUCAGAAAUGGACACAAUUGUAAUUUUGGUUUGCUACAAUGAAAAAUGGGUAACCUCAAAGAAGAUGUGCACAUAUGAAGGGGGUAACUCAAAAGGCAUAAUAGUUUCGCGAAACAUCACGUCUGGUGAGCUUUUGGAAUGGGUGCAUAAGAUUGUUAAUACAAACAACAGGGAAGACAAGCUUUGUUUAAAGUUCUCAGUUUCAAUAUCCUCGAAUGAGUGUAAGCAUAUCAAGAUUGAGGACAAUGAUGAUGUUAAAUUUUUUUAUUAAGUACAUUUGUGACGUAAUUCCUUCAAAAGUGGCUCCUUUACUGGUGAGCAUAGAAGACAGAGGACUGACAAAUGUCAUAGGUGAUCAUAUACAUAUCACGACGGAUAUGAGUCAGAUGGCCUGUUCUUCAAAUGCCAUAGUUGAAAGCAAUGGUGAUGUACAUGGUGAUUUUGGAACAUAAUAUUUAGACAUGAUUGAUUUUACAGGGGUGGAGGGGGUGCAUAGUGGUGAUAAUGGUAUGGAAAUGAAUGGCUUGCAAAUGCACUCAGCCCCUCUUAUUUUGGCCCAUUUGGAGACAUUUUCACAAGUGGGUGUGGUAGGUUUCGGAACAAUGUCUGAACUUUCUAUUCGACAUAUUUGGAGGCAAAUGGGUGAACAAAACGUGCACAACUUGGGUACUGUAAAUGAUGAAGAAGAAGAUAUUGAAAGCGCGUAUUCACGAAAUAAUUGGGAUCCAAAAUUGGAAGUUGGGAAAAUUUUCUCUAGUAAGGAAGCCCUGUCCAACAAGUUACAGUUGGCGGCAGUGAGAGGUCACUUUGAAUUUAAGGUGAAGCAGUCUUGCAAGAGUCGAUUGGUUGUGGUUUGUUCUCAAGGUCCAUGCCCAUGGCGGCUUCGUGCAUCUAGUUAUGGAGAAAAAAAACUUCAUGAUUGUGAAAUAUAAUCCGGUCCAUGAAUGUGAUAUGAGUUUUAUACAUGACAAGCAUCAUCACGCAAGUGCUAAACUCGUUGGUAAUGCAGUGAAGCAGAAGUUCAAAGAUUCUUGCACAAUAUACACACCAAGUGAUAAAUCAGAGAUGUGAAACAAAACUUUGGUGUCACCAUUAAUUAUUGCAAAGCUUGGAGAUCGAGGAAGUUAGCUCUAAUAUCCACUAGAGGUUCAGUAGAGGAGGCAUAUUCUCUUCUUCCAGCUUAUUGCACUACUACAAAAAAGCAAAAAGACAACGGUAAAUCACCGUCGUGUAUUCGAUUUUUCAAUGGUCGUGGAAUCCACCGUCAUCUUUUCCCUCAUAAA